rnacentral:rRNA from 1 species
UACAGAGGUCUCAAGCGUUGUUCGGAUUCAUUGGGCGUAAAGGGUGCGUAGGCGGCGCGGUAAGUCGGGUGUGAAAUCUCGGAGCUUAACUCCGAAACUGCAUUCGAUACUGCCGUGCUUGAGGACUGGAGAGGAGACUGGAAUUUACGGUGUAGCGGUGAAAUGCGUAGAUAUCAGGAGGAACACCGAUGGCGAAGGCAGCUCGCUGGGACGUGACUGACGCUGAGACGCGAAAGCGUGGGGAGCAAACAGG